rnacentral:lncRNA from 1 species
ACUCUGACAGCCCAACUGCCUCUAUGCGAGAUGCUACCCUGAGAUGUACAGCUGAGGAUCAUGGGAAUGAUGUCAUCCUGGAUGUCUGGGAGAGACCCUAGAAGGGUGUUCUAGGCAACCCAGGAGCUGCUUUUUAACAAAUAGGAUAGUUUAGCCUGCCUGUUAUACACCAGAGUAAUUUUCGUUGUUUCCUUUUCUCUCUUCCCCUUACAAUAGUCUGGGUGAAACUGAAGUAUUAAAAGAAGUGGGAAAAAAAUAAAUACAAAACUCCCAUUUACAAUGGCACCACUCACAUUAACUGAACUGCCUGCUAGGUACUCUCCCCUUACUUCUUACUGCUUCUCCCUAGCUAAACUCCUUCCAUGGCCCUUUCUUGUACCUGGCCCAGAUUUCAUUUUCCUGCAAUUUAGAACGAUCAUUAACUGUUUUUUUAGUGCCACUGUGUUAUAUAUCCAUAAUGGUAAAGAUGAUCUUUCUAUCUACCCAGUCUAGGGCUUCACUGGCUUAGGAACCUGUGCUAAUACCUUGCUCUUUUUGAAGUUCUAAGCAGCUGUGGCUUCUCUACUGCUCUCCUUUUAGAUAUCCGGGAAUCUCAUCCUCUCUUCCUCAGAACUCUAGUUACUAUCAGGCUGGCAUAUCACCAGCAGUGAGCAGAGAGGAUGGUGGACAAGGAUGCUGGGACCUGAACAGCAGUGUGCACAGAAAAGAAGAAAACAAUGCUGAAAACAGGCAACCUCAGAUGAUAUGUGGGCAAUUCUCUGGAAAUUCAAUGGUGGACUAAUACAUCUGCUAACUGCCUAUAAAGGAAUAUCCAGUAGUCACUAAUAGCCAUAUGAAGUCAGCUUUCCCUGGAAGUUGAUAUGCAAAGGCAGAGCAGCUCCAAGUGCAGCAAUAGCAGGCAGAGCGGUCUGAAUGGCACCUUCUACCCUGAUUUACUUACCAUUCACACCACACCAAAAUGCCUAAUAUGAACCUAGCACACACUUGACAACACACAGUAGCUUUCCCUGAGAAGAUCUUAAUAGGAAGCUUAUAAGGAUGUCUUCAUAAUGGGGCACACAAGCAAAUAAGGAGGACAUCCAAACUCAUCUAAAAUCUUAGCAGACUAUCCAGGAGCUGCCAUCUCAUCUGUUCCUAGACGCAGAUGUCUUUGUUACUUUGCUAUUGCUAUGACAAAACACCAUGACCAAGACAACUUAUAAAAGAAAGCAUUCAAUUUGGGAGUUAUGGUUCCAGAGGGUUAGAGUCCAUGACCAUCAUAGUGAGGAGUAUGGAAGCAGGCAAACAGACAGCCAGGCAGGCAGGCAGGCAGGCAAACAGACAGCCAGGCAGGCAAGCAGGCAGGUAAACAGACAGCCAGGCAGGCAGGCAGGCAAACAGGCAGGCAGGCAGGCAGGCAAACAGACAGCCAGGCAGGCAGGCAGGCAGGCAGGCAAACAGACAGCCAACAGGCAGGCAGGCAGGCAAGCAGGCAUGGCACUAGAGCAGGAGCUGAGAUUUACCUCUUGAGACUAGACCAUAAAGUAGAGUAAGCUAACUGGAAAUGGAAUGGGCUUUUGAAACAUCAAAGCCCGUCCACGGUGACAUACCAAGAAGACCACACCUACUAAUCUCUUUCAAACAGUUCCAUCAAUUAGGUAUCAAAGAAUUGAAUAUAUGAACCUCCGGGGGCCAUUCUCAUUCAAACUACCCCAGCAGGUGUGUACUUACUCAUGGCUCUCAUACUCUGCUUCUGGGUUCAAGCCAUAAUAAAUUUAAGAUCUUUUCUUAUGUAAAGUUUAUUUUUAGAAAAUCCCUCUUCUGGAUGUUCUCUCUCAAACACUAUUUUUUAGUCUAAUCAUUUUGUACAUCUUUGAGAUAGCCGAUGUAAAUAAGUAGCACUGGAAUCUGCCGUCGUUUACAAUGGUUUCCUUUAAAAUGCAUCGUUAAGGGGCAAGUGUGCUGAUAUGUACUCGUAAGAUGAUAAUUUGUGCUAAUUACAACAAUAUCAUGGGGGAAAUGUAUGGUGCUUCUCCUUGUCUAAGUAAUCGCAUUGGCAGACGGUCUAAAUGUCCUUAAAGUUGUUUAAAAAGGAACGUUGUGUUCUAUGCUAUCUGGCGGUUUCUAAAUUCACGUAUUUAAAAUAUUCUUCCUUGUUCACAGGCCAUAAAAUCGCACAUCUCAUAUGCAAUUGAAUUUUUAGAGGCUUUCCCAAAGUGGGGGAGGGGGGUGACGUAUCAAAUGCUCUUUUUCUAAGUUGGCUGUGUUCCAGGACAGACAUGGUAAACCCUCUCUAUUUCACUGUCUGACUAGAUUGGUGCAGAUGCUAAACACUUCCUGAAUUUCCCAUAAAAACCCUUUCAUCUUUGGUUGCUUCCACCUGGCUUUACUUUGGAUUAUAGCUUUUCUCUGUUUUCCAGAAUCAGGCCAACUAUCACUCAUGAAAAUUAUUACUUCCCAUGCCCAUCCUUAUCUCGCUGAGCAAGGUACUUAAAUUCCCAGAGACUUGAAAAUGGGGACUUGCUAGUGUUGAGAUCUGAAAUUAUAUACAUACUUUUUUGUCAAAGGGGGGGACACAAAAUACUGGAUAUUUUACAUUGAUUGUGGGUUGAUAGUAUGCUAUUUUGACGAUGUUAGUUUAAGAAGAUGUUUUUUAAAGUUAAAUCACUUUUAUUAAGUCAUUUUAUUAAGAUAACUCAUAGAAAUUUAAAAGUACUACAGUGACUCAUGUUAUAGAUUCUCUAUUUUUCUCUUUUGGCUAACGCUUGCCAGUAAUAUGUACUUUUACCUAAAGGACAUAUUUACCUGUUUCUGAAUUAGGUAACAAUUUCUUCUAAAUUAAAAUAUUCCCUCCUGGAGGGAGAAAGGAAGCU